UGGCUCAGGAUGAACGCUGGCGGCUGCUUAACACAUGCAGUCGAACGCAACCUUCGGGUUGAGUGGCGGACGGGUGAGUAACGCGUGAGAAUCUGCCUUGGGGUCGGGGACAACCACUGGAAACGGUGGCUAAUACCGGAUAAGCCUUUGGGUAAAAAAUUUAUUGCCCCAAGAGGAGCUCGCGUCUGAUUAGCUAGUUGGUGAGGUAAGAGCUCACCAAGGCAGCGAUCAGUAGCUGGUCUGAGAGGACGAUCAGCCACACUGGGACUGAGACACGGCCCAGACUCCUACGGGAGGCAGCAGUGGGGAAUUUUCCGCAAUGGGCGAAAGCCUGACGGAGCAAGACCGCGUGAGGGAGGAAGGCUCUUGGGUUGUAAACCUCUUUUCUCAGGGAAGAAGCUCUGACGGUACCUGAGGAAUCAGCCUCGGCUAACUCCGUGCCAGCAGCCGCGGUAAUACGGAGGAGGCAAGCGUUAUCCGGAAUUAUUGGGCGCAAAGCGUCCGCAGGUGGCGAUUCAAGUCUGCUGUCAAGGCACGGGGCUUAACUCCGUUAAGGCAGUUGGAAACUGAAAUAGCUAGAGUGCCGUAGGGGUAGAGGGAAUUCCCGGUGUAGCGGUGAAAAUGCGUAGAGAUCGGGAAGAACAUCGGUGGCGAAAGCGCUCUACUUGGACGGCAACUGACACUUCAGGGACGAAAGCUAAGGGGAGCGAAAUGGGAUUAGAUACCCCAGUAGUCCUA
rnacentral:rRNA from 1 species